GGGUCAGGAUGAACGCUGGCGGCGUGCUUAACACAUGCUUUUCGAACGAAGCACCUUAUUUGAUUUCCUUCGGGACUGAUUAUUUUGUGACUGAGUGGCGGACGGGUGAGUAACGCGUGGGUAACCUGCCUUGUACAGGGGGAUAACAGUUGGAAACGGCUGCUAAUACCGCAUAAGCGCACAGCAUCGCAUGAUGCAGUGUGAAAAACUCCGGUGGUAUAAGAUGGACCCGCGUUGGAUUAGCUAGUUGGUGAGGUAACGGCCCACCAAGGCGACGAUCCAUAGCCGACCUGAGAGGGUGACCGGCCACAUUGGGACUGAGACACGGCCCAAACUCCUACGGGAGGCAGCAGUGGGGAAUAUUGCACAAUGGGCGAAAGCCUGAUGCAGCGACGCCGCGUGAGCGAAGAAGUAUUUCGGUAUGUAAAGCUCUAUCAGCAGGGAAGAUAAUGACGGUACCUGACUAAGAAGCACCGGCUAAAUACGUGCCAGCAGCCGCGGUAAUACGUAUGGUGCAAGCGUUAUCCGGAUUUACUGGGUGUAAAGGGAGCGCAGGCGGUGCGGCAAGUCUGAUGUGAAAGCCCGGGGCUCAACCCCGGUACUGCAUUGGAAACUGUCGUACUAGAGUGUCGGAGGGGUAAGCGGAAUUCCUAGUGUAGCGGUGAAAUGCGUAGAUAUUAGGAGGAACACCAGUGGCGAAGGCGGCUUACUGGACGAUAACUGACGCUGAGGCUCGAAAGCGUGGGGAGCAAACAGGAUUAGAUACCCUGGUAGCCCACGCCGUAAACGAUGAAUACUAGGUG
rnacentral:rRNA from 1 species